rnacentral:rRNA from 1 species
UACGUAGGGUGCAAGCGUUGUCCGGAAUUAUUGGGCGUAAAGAGCUCGUAGGCGGUCUGUCACGUCGGCUGUGAAAACCCGAGGCUCAACCUCGGGCCUGCAGUCGAUACGGGCAAACUAGAGUACUGCAGGGGAGACUGGAAUUCCUGGUGUAGCGGUGAAAUGCGCAGAUAUCAGGAGGAACACCGGUGGCGAAGGCGGGUCUCUGGGCAGUAACUGACGCUGGAGGAGCGAAAGCGUGGGGAGCAAACAGG